rnacentral:lncRNA from 1 species
CCAUGUGGCCUCUCCCGGUGUGGGAUUCUGCCAUAGGACAUUAAUAAAGGAAAUUUUUCAGUUGCGAAGUGCUUUGCUCUUUCAGUUCACAAUGCCGAUCAGUACUUCCUCGUAUGAUAGAUCCUCCUGAAGUGGAAGAGACUCGUGCACCAAGACAUGAGAGGGUUCGGGUUGUACUUGCGUAGCAUAGACACAUGAAACACGUUAUGGACCCUGAAAAUUUUUGGAGACAGUGCCAAUCUGU